AGUUGAUUUUUAUUACAAAGGCUCCAAAGUUAAGGUUUAGUUGAGAUUUGAAAUUGAAGCAGGGACUAAACCUCUCUGCUGUGUCUGAUAAUAUAGUGUAUCCAUACCAAAAUUACAGCACUUACUCUUUGAAUACUGAAUGCAUUUUUCUGAGACUUUACAGGUUACGUCACCAAUCGGAAGUUAACAGAGAAAAUAUUCUUCAUCAGUAGGACUGCUUUACAGCUCAGGAACUGAAGUGGUCCACUAUGUAACUAUAUGGCACCAUAGACCUACAUAGCUCUAUGCAGCUAAUUGGGAUUAUACAGCUACAUGUCACUAUGCAUCUUCCACUACUUGAAGCUGAAUCAAAAUGGUAGUGGAAAGAAACCUGACUCCAGGGGAAAGGACCUGAGUUGAGAGAAACCUGCUGGUAAAGGGCCUGGACAGAGACAAACAGUGGACUCAGGAGGGACAGAUAAACUAAGACUGGCUCUGUUUCCCAACUAGGAUGCUGAGAUGAAGAUUUCCGUUAUAUUUUGUGUUGGUCUUUUUAGUUUGGCACCUGAAGGUCAGGGCCGGCUCCAGGCACCAGUGAAGGAAGCAGG